rnacentral:rRNA from 1 species
GAUGAACGCUAGCGGCAGGCCUAACACAUGCAAGUCGAGGGGCAGCACGAUUGAGCUUGCUUAAUUGGUGGCGACCGGCGCACGGGUGCGUAACGCGUAUGCAACCUACCUUAUACUGGGGUAUAGCCCGAAGAAAUUCGGAUUAAUCCCCCAUAGCAUUAUCGAUUCGCAUGUUUUGAUGAUUAAAGGUUACGGUAUAA